AUUGAACGCUGGCGGCAGGCUUAACACAUGCAAGUCGAGCGGAGAUGAGGUGCUUGCACCUUAUCUUAGCGGCGGACGGGUGAGUAAUGCUUAGGAAUCCGCCUAUUAGUGGGGGACAACAUUCCGAAAGGAAUGCUAAUACCGCAUACGUCCUACGGGAGAAAGCAGGGGAUCUUCGGACCUUGCGCUAGUAGAUGAGCCUAAGUCGGAUUAGCUAGUUGGUGGGGUAAAGGCCUACCAAGGCGACGAUCUGUAGCGGGUCUGAGAGGAUGAUCCGCCACACUGGGACUGAGACACGGCCCAGACUCCUACGGGAGGCAGCAGUGGGGAAUAUUGGACAAUGGGGGAAACCCUGAUCCAGCCAUGCCGCGUGUGUGAAGAAGGCCUUAUGGUUGUAAAGCACUUUAAGCGAGGAGGAGGCUACUGAGACUAAUACUCUUGGAUAGUGGACGUUACUCGCAGAAUAAGCACCGGCUAACUCUGUGCCAGCAGCCGCCGUAAAAC
rnacentral:rRNA from 1 species